rnacentral:rRNA from 1 species
GACAGCAGCAGCCGCGGGAAUACGUAGGAUGCAAGCGUUAAUCGGAAUUACUGGGCGUAAAGCGUGCGCAGGCGGUUAUAUAAGUCAGAUGUGAAAUCCCCGGGCUCAACCUGGGAACUGCAUUUGAGACUGUAUGGCUAGAGUGUGUCAGAGGGGGGUAGGAGUCCACGUGUAGCAGUGAAAUGCGUAGAUAUGUGGAGGAAUACCGAUGGCGAAGGCAGCCCCCUGGGAUAACACUGACGCUCAUGCACGAAAGCGUGGGGAGCAAACAGGAUUAGAUACCCGAGUAGUCCCUGUCUCUUAUAC